GGAGUAAAAGUCGUAACAAGGUCUCCGUUGGUGAACCAGCGGAGGGAUCAUUACUGAGUUACCGCUCUACAACCCUUUGUGAACAUACCUAACUGUUGCUUCGGCGGGCAGAGGUCCCUCGCGGAUCUCUCCCGGCAACGCCCUCACGGGCGGAGCGCCCGCCGGAGGAUACCAAACUCUAUUUUAACGACGUUUCUUCUGAGUGGCACAAGCAAAUAAUUAAAACUUUUAACAACGGAUCUCUUGGUUCUG
rnacentral:misc_RNA from 1 species